rnacentral:rRNA from 1 species
UACGAAGGGUGCAAGCGUUAAUCGGAAUUACUGGGCGUAAAGGGUGCGUAGGCGGUUCGUUAAGUCUGUCGUGAAAUCCCACGGCUCAACCGUGGAAGUGCACUCGAAACUGCAUAGCUAGAGUCCUGGAGAGGAAGGUGGAAUGCUUGGUGUAGAGGUGAAAUUCGUAGAUAUCGAGAGGAACACCGGUGGCGAAGGCGGCCAACUGGACAGAUACUGACGCUGAGACACGAAAGCGUGGGGAGCAAACAGG